GACCGAGGUGCCGAGCGUUAGGCGGAAUCACUGGGCUUAAAGCGUGUGUAGGCGGGCGGCCCAGUACCUUGUGAAAUCCCACGGCUCAACCGUGGAACUGCUGGGUAUACUGGUCGUCUUGAGCCAGCCAGGGGCGAGCGGAACAGACGGUGGAGCGGUGAAAUGCGUAGAUAUCGUCUGGAACGCCGAAGGUGAAAACAGCUCGCUGGGGCUGCGCUGACGCUGAGACACGAAAGCCAGGGGAGCGAACGGG
rnacentral:rRNA from 1 species